UACGUAGGGAGCGAGCGUUAUCCGGAUUUAUUGGGUGUAAAGGGUGCGUAGACGGGUUAAUAAGUUAGUUGUGAAAUCCCUUGGCUUAACUGAGGAACUGCAACUAAAACUGUUAAUCUUGAGUACUGGAGAGGAAAGCGGAAUUCCUAGUGUAGCGGUGAAAUGCGUAGAUAUUAGGAGGAACACCAGUGGCGAAGGCGGCUUUCUGGACAGAAACUGACGUUGAGGCACGAAAGUGUGGGGAGCAAAC
rnacentral:rRNA from 1 species